rnacentral:rRNA from 1 species
GACGUAGGGCGCGAGCGUUGUCCGGAUUUACUGGGCGUAAAGGGCGCGUAGGCGGCGUGACAAGUCACUUGUGAAAUCUCCGGGCUUAACUCGGAACGGUCAAGUGAUACUGUCGUGCUAGAGUACAGAAGGGGCAACUGGAAUUCUCGGUGUAGCGGUGAAAUGCGUAGAUAUCGAGAGGAACACCUGCGGCGAAGGCGGGUUGCUGGGCUGAUACUGACGCUGAGGCGCGAAAGCCAGGGGAGCGAACGGG